AGCUCCAAUAGCGUAUAUUAAUGUUGUUGCAGUUAAAAAGCUCGUAGUUGGAUAUCUGGCCUUUGCGUUGACGACCCGCCCUCUUUUGGGAUGAGCGUUGGAGACGUGGGUCUAUUUUCCGGUUGGUGUCCAUUCCACUUUAUUGGGGCGUGGUUCACGAUCCGGAUCGUUUACUUUAAAAAAAUUCGAGUGUUCAUAGCAGGCUUACGCCGUGAAGAUCGCAGCAUGGAAUAAUAACAUAGGACUUGGCGUUCUAUUUUGUUGGUUCUGGAACCUAAGUAAUGAUUGAUAGGGACAGUUGGGGGUGCUGCUAUAGACUGGCCAGAGGUGAAAUUCUAAGACUCAGUCUAGAGCAACUUAUGCGAAAGCAUUCACCAAGGAUGUCUUCUUUAAUCAAGAA
rnacentral:rRNA from 1 species